rnacentral:rRNA from 1 species
GAUGAACGCUGGCGGCGUGCUUAACACAUGCAAGUCGAACGGAAAGGCCGAAGCUUGCUUCGGUACUCGAGUGGCGAACGGGUGAGUAACACGUGGGUGAUCUGCCCUGUACUUCGGGAUAAGCUUGGGAAACUGGGUCUAAUACCGGAUAUGACGAUCUCUUGGAUGGGGUUGUGGAAAGCUUUUGCGGUAUGGGAUGAGCUCGCGGCCUAUCAGCUUGUUGGUGGGGUAAUGGCCUACCAAGGCGUCGACGGGUAGCCGGUCUGAGAGGGUGUACGGCCACAUUGGGACUGAGAUACGGCCCAGACUCCUACGGGAGGCAGCAGUGGGGAAUAUUGCACAAUGGGCGCAAGCCUGAUGCAGCGACGCCGCGUGGGGGAUGACGGCCUUCGGGUUGUAAACUCCUUUCGCAAUCGACGAAGCCUUUUGGUGACGGUAGGUUGAGAAGAAGCACCGGCUAACUACGUG